rnacentral:misc_RNA from 1 species
GAUGAAGAACGUAGCGAAGUGCGAUAAGUAAUGUGAAUUGCAGAAUUCCGUGAAUCAUCGAAUCUUUGAACGCAAAUUGCACUUUCUGGUAUUCCGGAGAGUAUGCCUGUUUGAGGGUCAGUGUAAUAAAAAUAAAUCGUGGUUACCACUUUUCGUGGUGACGCUUCGGAAUUGAGUCGUCUUACCUUCGGUUAAGUGACUUAAAAUUUUUUCAUACGAUUUCGAAACGUAUUUAAUGUAUUAUGUAUUUUCACGAAUAUCGAAUGUUUAUUAGGUGCGGUCAUUUUCAUGAAUUCGCGUCUAUAAUUUUUUUUUUUUUGACCUCAAAUCAGGUAAGAAUACCCGCUGAACUUAAGCAUAUCAAAAGCGGAGGA